GUUACAGAGAAAAAUGGCCCCCAGGGCAGUGUCAACGUCUUUCCAUGGAAAUCUGGCUCACCCAAUAAGAGAAAAGAGGCCAAGGAAAGAAAGACUAAACCAAGAGAGAUGGCAGGCAGUGAUGUCUGGACUAUUUGAAUGGGACUUCUCCAUUUACCGCCCCUCUCACUUCCUUCUAUGGUCUGGACCUUUAAUCACCACAGCAGUCAGCCAUGUAGGGUCAAGCUAAUCGCUGUUGACAUCAUCCUACUACUUCCCUUUUCAAAUUCCAGUGAAGCUAUGUGUUUCCUGUCCUAUUCCACACCCUAGAGAAUGAAUACGGGCCAGCUAGUAUCUAAAUUUAGAAUGGCAGCAACGUGUCGGGUUUUCGGAGUAGAGAUAAACAAAACCAGGUGACAUUUCCAAGCCUCUCAAGGAAAGAGGGGAAAAAAAAAACCUUUCUGGGGUAAGUAAAUAAGGAGAGCUUCAAUAGUUCCACGGUAGAGAGAGGCCUGCUGGCAGGUUCAAAAAAUAGGCCGGCUGGAACCUUCUCCUUUAAGCCAGGAGGGCGGCUUUGGGAGGCGUCUCGAAAUACAUUCUUGACUCUGCAAGGAAAGCUCAGGGAGCCAGAGGCCUAAUACCCCCGACUUCAGGGGAAGCUGUGACGGCAGCUGCACCUCCUUUGUCAAGCUGUUGGUUUCAACCACAGACACGAGGAGACACUUGAGUUGGGGGUAAGUGGAGAAGCCUGCCGCCCCGCCCCCAGCACGCCGCUCUCGCCAUUCCUCUCCCGCCCCGCCCCCUGUCUGUGACCCCCGCGGGCCAAGCCUCAGGCGACCUGUUGGCAGGGAGAGUCACGUGACGCGCCGGCUGCGCACUCCUCUCGGGCGGGCCUCCUGUUGCGCCCGCCUGGCGAGUUCCAUCACGUAACGCGCGGGCGCCGCCCCGCUCUUCCCUCGUUGAGCGAGGGAGGGCGGGCGUCGAAGAGGAAAGGGAAGGGGAAAGGGGCGGGAGAAGGGAGGAGGGGCGGUGUCCAAGUCACGUGACCCGGGGGCAGCCCGGAAAGCUCCGAGGAGGAGCCUGGCGCCGCCAUUUUCCUGCAGCUGCCUGUCCCUCUUACCCUGCCCGGCUCCAGCUGACCAGGGAAGGGGUGGGCUGAACUGAGGCGGGGGCAAGGGAGUGCCCGACAUCUUGUCCGACUCCGCGGGUGAUACAAGCCGGUUCUCUCUGGCCUGGGUGGCAGCGCGCGG
rnacentral:lncRNA from 1 species